rnacentral:lncRNA from 1 species
CUUCGGGCAGCAGUGAGGAGGACGACCAUACUGGGCUGGAGGAGUGAGGACAUGAGCGGUCUCCUCCCCGGCUGCCCUAGGCAUGCACAGCUCAGGGGAAACUUCUCUUCCCUGGCCUCGCUGAUUUCCCAGUCUCAGAGAGGAUGCAUCUGCCUUUGGAAAAUGAUUCUUUCAUCUUGACGGAGAAAAACACAUGCUGCAGUUGCACUCCGCGCUGAUGGCUCUAAGCUGAUGACUCUAAGCAAGAUUGCAAGCUCUGAGCGGGCUGAAUUGGCGGCGGGGGGGAAAUGGCUUGGCUGCCCCUCAUCUCUGCACCUUUGGCUUCACAAUAAAGAAUGCAGGUCUGAGCCAUCCAUACAGCUCAAACCCCAAACCACUUUUGGU